rnacentral:rRNA from 1 species
GAUGAACGCUGGCGGCGUGCUUAACACAUGCAAGUCGAGCGAAGCGCUUUGGAAAGAUUCUUCGGAUGAUUUCCUUUGUGACUGAGCGGCGGACGGGUGAGUAACGCGUGGGUAACCUGCCUCAUACAGGGGGAUAACAGUUAGAAAUGACUGCUAAUACCGCAUAAGACCACGGUACCGCAUGGUACAGUGGCAAAAACUCCGGUGGUAUGAGAUGGACCCGCGUCUGAUUAGGUAGUUGGUGGGGUAACGGCCUACCAAGCCGACGAUCAGUAGCCGACCUGAGAGGGUGACCGGCCACAUUGGGACUGAGACACGGCCCAGACUCCUACGGGAGGCAGCAGUGGGGAAUAUUGCACAAUGGAGGAAACUCUGAUGCAGCGACGCCGCGUGAAGGAUGAAGUAUUUCGGUAUGUAAACUUCUAUCAGCAGGGAAGAAAAUGACGGUAC